UAAAGCCUAGGAUGUAAAUCAGGGUGUAGAUCGCACCGCAGAUAAAGCUGCACCAUUUUCCCAACAACAGACAGCUCCGAGAUCUCAGAACUGCUUUCUCUCUCUCAGAGACCUCUACGCAGGGUGACGUUAGCUUGACGUUGUCAAGGCAACAAACAACAGUGGGUUUCAGCGAUAAAGAUUCUUGUCUCACUUGCACACAUAAAACAGUUCUGAAGGUAGGGAAGAUGGCUGGGAAGAUGGCUCCGUGGUAACCCAGAGCCCAGUCUUCUGCCACCUCAGCACUCUGUCUUCCUUAGUUUUGUUCCUUAGUUUUUGUUUUGACUGAUGGCCCAAGGUGACUGCUCAAGUUCCAGCCAUCGCACUCAAAUUUCACUGAACAGAAAGAGGAAAGAAAGAAGAGAGAGCCCUGCUUUGCCUUUAAUGGGACUUCCUGAAACUACUAAUCGGAAAGUGACCCCAGCACAUUUUUCUGGAAGCAAGAACAUUGCACGAGGAAGCAGUGUGCUGACUUCUGGGUGAUGUUUGUUCUCUACCAAGUCUGCACGACCUAAAAUUUCAUCUAGGCCACUUUGAUGUUCUGCAGAGUGAGAGAAGCCCAUCAGCUGAGACAACUGGAGUCUGGGUUUGACUUUGAUCUCACUCAGUGACAAUGUAUCAGUGUAACGGAAACGAUAACAUGGUUCAGGACUAAGUGUAAUCAGAAAACAAUUGGGGAAAAGGGGAAAAGUAUUCCUUUUGGAAACUGAAGGAUUGGAGACUCUGGCUAGAGGGAGCUCAGGGCUUCUAGAAAUCCUAGUCUUACAUUUCAUCAGCUGCUUGUGCCUUGAGUCGGGGCUGUGGGUCUUGGAUGUGUUGUCUCGGGGUAGGGGGCGGUUGCUACGUUAUCAGUGUCAAAUAAAAGUGUGAAGGAGAGAGGGGCAGAUCCCAGGGUAGGUCAUUUAGAAUGGAGACCUUCUCAAUCCAAAGGAGAGUCCUGGCGAGGAUGCCUCCCACAAGGGAAUAAGAACCGAGUCCCAUAGACACCCAGGGAAGGUGUAAGUUGCAAGUUUCCAAGGUCAUGUCCAAGUUCCUCUAGCUUUGCCUCUCUUGUGGGUACACUUGGCAUAGGUCAAGCUGCUGGCAUUUUAUUUUUAGGUUGAUUAAUUUUUAUGUUGCUGAAAGGCAGAGAGAGAGAGAGAGAGAGAGAGAGAGAGAAUAUCUCUUCCAUCCAUUGAUUCACUUUUCCAAUGCCCACAACUGCUGGGACUGAGCUAGAAUGAAGAAGCCGGGACCCAGGAACUCCAUCCCGGUCUCCUGAGUGGCUGGCGGGAACUCUAGUACUUGAACCAUCACUGCUGCCCAAGUAGUGAUGUUUAAUAGUUCUCUGAAGGUACCUAGCGGUGGACCUGUGAAGACUUACACUCCACAGUUAAUUUCCUGCCGACCUAAUUACAAGUGUUCAUUAUUACAAAGCUUGGGGCAAUGACACGUAAGAAUCUGCAGCUGCCCUGCUUAAAGUUUUGAGACUAUAUGCACUGGCAGUUAUCCUUUAAAAUGGCCCUUUGUGGGGAGGGUGUUGCGGUGCGGUGGGUGACGCUGCUGCUUGCGAGGCCUGCGUCCCAUAUCAGAGUCCUGGCUGCUGUGUGUGUGUCCACUCCAGCUUCCUGCUACUGUGCCUGGGAGGGGAGUGGAUGAUGGCCCCCAAGGACUUGGGUCCCUGACACCCAUGUGCAAAACUUGAAUGGAGUUUUGGGCUCCUGGCUUCAGCGGAGCCUAGCUCCUGCUGUGUGUGGGCAUUUGGAGAGCGAACCAGUGGAUGGAAUAUAUUCUCUCUCUCCUGUUCUCUUUCAAGUAAAUAAAUAGAUAAAUCUUCAACAGACAAAAUGGCUUUGAGCUGGUCAGUGUCGCAGCCUGGGGCAGAGAUUUGAAAGGCGUGGCUUGCAGGCUUGUAGUUGGGUACUUCUCCUGAGUUUCUAGGUCAGUGGCCUCCAGGAACUUCACUGGACAGACUUACCCAGACUCUUUUUUUUUUAAUUAAUUAAUUAAUUUGAGAGGUAGAGUUACAGAGACAGAGAUAGAGAGAGGUCUUCCAUAUGCUGGUUCACUUUCCAAAUGGCCGCAAUGGCCGGAGCUGGGCCAAUGUGAAGCCAGGAGCCAAGAGCUUCUUCCAGGUCUCCCAUGCAGGUGCAGGGGCCCAAGCACUUGGGCCAUCUUCCACUGCUUUCCCAGGCCAUAGCAGAGAGCUAGAAGUGGAGCAGCUGGGACUCAAACCGGUGCCCAUAUGGGAUUCUGGUACUGCAGGUGGCGGCUUCACCUGCUACACCACAGUGCUGGCCCAAAAAUUCUUUCAUAAUUUCUUAUGGGCCAAGGGCUCAUAACCACCGGAUUGUUGGGGCAGGCUGAGCAAGAGCCACAGGGUCUGCCCACAGCUGGGCCAGCAUGUGUGCCCACAGUUUGAUUCGGCCUCAGCAUAGGAAUCAGAUGGGGAUUUCCCACUGUUGAGAUGCAAUGGACAAGGUGGGUGGUUGUGUUGGCUUUGUCUGUCUCAUGGGUCCAAGGAGGGUUUUUUUUAUUUAAAUAAUUAUUUUUAUUUUAUUUAUAUGAAAGGGAGAGUGGCACACACAGAGGCAGAGACAGGGAGGGAUAUAUAUAUAUAUAUAGAGAGAGAGAGAGAGAGAGAGAGAGAAUCUUCCAUUGACUGGUUCACUCCCCUAAAUGGCUACAACAGCCAGGACUGGACCAGGCUGAAGCCAGCAGCCUGGAACUCCAUUCUGGUCUCCCACAAGGAUGGCAGGAGUCCAAGUACUUGGGCUGUCAUCUACAGCUUUCCCAGGUGCAUUAACAGGAAGCUGGAUCAGAAGUGGGGCAGCUGGGACUGGAACCAGGAUAAAAAUGCAGGUGUUGCAAGUGGCAGCUUAACCCACCGUGCCACAAUCCGGUCUUGGCCAACUGGUUUGAGUGGCAUGCUGAUGGGCCAAUCCUGCUUCAAAAAAAUUAAAAAAAAAAAAAAAAAAACUGGUUUAGAGCUGUUGUUGACUUGGUUCAUACAGUAUAAAGCAGUGAUUUUUCUUCUCAGGUGAACAAUGAAGUUCCUAUGCACUGUCUUGACCUUGUUGGGAUCACUGGAAUUCUGCCUGCCAGUCCCAAAGGAACUGACAUCGAAUCAUUCUUCCCGAAAUAGCGCCUGAUAGCGAGGACGCCAUGGUCAUCGGCCAGGGAGACUCCUGGUGGGAACGGUCUAUUCACUAAUCGACCUGCUGGACUCAAUAGAGAACAGCAAUUGGAGAUCAAAGAACACUCUGCGCUACAAAGGCAAGCCCAACUUUGGACCAGAUGUUUUUCCUCCAGCUCUGUCGGGCUUGAUCGAGUAUGGCUGCAGCUGGCCUGGUGCACACAACCAUUGGUAUGAAAAGCAAGAGGUGUGUGUGUGUGUGUGUAUACACGUGCGUGCAUGUGCACACUCAGGUCAGGGGUGGGGGGAGAGACAAGAGCAGCUUUAAAACCAAAAGGGGUUUGAAUGUAAGCUUAGGUGGGAUCCUAAGCAAUAAUUCUUUUGCUGUUUAUUUGCAAAGUGGAGACAAGGAAUGUGCUGUCAACUUUGCAAACGCUUACUAUCUAAUCAUUUAUGGUGAACUUCAAAAAGUUCAUGGAAAUGAAAUAAAAAUAUAAGUUUAAUUUGGUGCAAAAAAAUCUUUGAACUCCAUGGUUAGAUUUUUAUGAUAUGAUUUUUCAUGAAUUUUUGAAGAU